ACAACUUUUCUGGAAGAAUUUUUAAAGGUGUCAUGCCACACAUAUUUCAUUACUUUGUGGUAAUGUCGGAAGUUCUUCCAUGGACUCUGUAAAAAUUGUGGAAA